rnacentral:rRNA from 1 species
GUAGUCCAUGCCGUAAACGUUGGGCACUAGGUGUGGGGGGCAUUCCACGUUCUCCGCGCCGUAGCUAACGCAUUAAGUGCCCCGCCUGGGGAGUACGGUCGCAAGGCUAAAACUCAAAGGAAUUGACGGGGGCCCGCACAAGCGGCGGAGCAUGCGGAUUAAUUCGAUGCAACGCGAAGAACCUUACCAAGGCUUGACAUACACCAGACCGUCCUGGAAACAGGUCCUCUUCUUUGAAGCUGGUGUACAGGUGGUGCAUGGUUGUCGUCAGCUCGUGUCGUGAGAUGUUGGGUUAAGUCCCGCAACGAGCGCAACCCUCGUUCUAUGUUGCCAGCACGUGAUGGUGGGAACUCAUAGGAGACUGCCGGGGUCAACUCGGA